GAACGCACAUUGCGCCCGCCAGCAUUCUGGCGGGCAUGCCUGUUCGAGCGUCAUUUCAACCCUCGACAUCCCUUUGGGGAAGUCGGCGUUGGGGACCGGCAGCACCGCCGGCCCCGAAAUUGAGUGGCGGCCCGUCCGCGGCGACCUCUGCGUAGUAAUCCAACCUCGCACCGGAACCCCGACGUGGCCACGCCGUAAAACACCCAACUUUCUGAACGUUGACCUCGGAUCAGGUAGGAAUACCCGCUGAACUUAAG
rnacentral:misc_RNA from 1 species